AUGGCAAUGAUGAUUGGCGCAGGGGUACGGACCUCAGCUAGAUCAUGGGAGCUGAAUGCAAACUUUUUGUUUCGGUGCAGCUGGCAUGUGGCAGGCUCACUGGAAACAGGUUUGCAUGAGACUUCGCCAAAAACUGAGCCAU
ensembl:snoRNA small nucleolar RNA, C/D box 94